rnacentral:tRNA from 2 species
AUUUAAAUAGUUUAAUAAAAAUAUUGAUUUGUGGUGUCAAAGAUGUAAAUUUUACUUUAGAUC